CCUUCUCCCAUUUCUUCUGUCUGAUCUAAAGAUCCCCUCGACCCUGGUUUGUCAUCCUACCUCCUUGGCUAAACCCAGAAACCCAGCGCCAGAUUCCCACUUCAAACAGCCUCCUCGACAAACUGUUUACAGAACUUGUCCCGCUCUUCACGUGAUCUCUCCCCAACUACAGCCCUUCAUCCGCACCACCACUCCCCGCGCUGAAUCCUAGUCCCAAACCCAGCCUCUCACUCCUCUGCUCCCUCCAGGCACGCAUUCCCCACCCUCCUCCACUCAAGGCAGUCCUACUUCUCCAUCAGCCCAACACCCAGUUUCAUCUUCCUCAGGUUUGCAGCAUCCCUCGUCCCACCUACUCCACGUCAGGCUGCUUCGCCCCGCUGCCCGCCAGACGCGAGGCGAGGACGUUGCCCGGUCCUUUGUACCUACAGGCAUCCGAAACAACACAGCACCGAGAAAUGACUGAAAGGCACAGGACGUGGCUGCGCGAUGGCUCCUGAGAGACGCUGCGGGUGCUCCCGUGGUGUCGGCAGGACUUUGGAAGCCCAUUUGUGGAGAAGACACGCGGGAAGCGGCUCAGAGCGACGCUCGCGCACAAAAAGCCGGCAGUGCCGGUCCCGUCACUGCGGAGCGAGGCGCAGCGCUGCCGGCACGGGAGGCACCACGCUGACGAAGCACAAGGGCAGGAAAAUCAUGUUUCGUGGGUGUACGUGAGCGUUUUUUAUUAAAAAAACUGUUCCUCAGAAGACCUUGUUCCUCCCGUGUGGCCACAGCCGCGGCUCCCCCUCGCCCCCCCACCCCAGGGGCCCCGCAACCGCACGGCGGGGCUGGCGGGAGCCCCCGCGGGGACCAUCCCGGCUUUACC